rnacentral:rRNA from 1 species
UGCAGUCGUGGGGCAGCAGGGGUGUAGCAAUACACUCGCUGGCGACCGGCAAACGGGUGCGGAACACGUACGCAACCUACCCAAAACUGGGGAAUAGCCCGGGGAAACCCGGAUUAAUACCUCGUAACACCAUGAAGUGGCAUCACUAUAUGGUUAUAGCUCCGGCGGUUUUGGAUGGGCGUGCGCCUGAUUAGGUAGUUGGCGGGGUAACGGCCCACCAAGCCAGCGAUCAGUAACUGGUGUGAGAGCACGACCAGUCACACGGGCACUGAGACACGGGCCCGACUCCUACGGGAGGCAGCAGUAAGGAAUAUUGGUCAAUGGACGCAAGUCUGAACCAGCCAUGCCGCGUGAAGGAUGAAGGUCCUCUGGAUUGUAAACUUCUUUUAUAUGGGACGAAACCCGGGAAUUCCUUCCCGAUUGACGGUACCAUAGGAAUAAGCACCGGCUAACUCCGUGCCAGCAGCCGCGGUAAUACGGAGGGUGCAAGCGUUAUCCGGAUUCACUGGGUUUAAAGGGUGCGUAGGAGGGUAGGUAAGUCAGUGGUGAAAUCCCCGAGCU